UACGUAGGGGGCAAGCGUUGUCCGGAUUUAUUGGGCGUAAAGAGCGUGUAGGCGGCCAGAUAGGUCAGCUGUGAAAACUCGAGGCUCAACCUCGAGACGCCGGUUGAAACCAUCUGGCUAGAGUCCGGAAGAGGAGAGUGGAAUUCCUGGUGUAGCGGUGAAAUGCGCAGAUAUCAGGAAGAACACCCGUGGCUAAGGCGGCUCACUGGACCACAACUGACGCUGAGGCGCGAAAGCUAGGGGAGCAAACAGG
rnacentral:rRNA from 1 species